AUGUAUAUAUAUAUAUAUAUAUAUAUAUAGAGAGAGAGAGAGAGAGAGAGAGAGAGAGAGAGAGAGAGAGAGAGAGAGAGUUGUGCUUCUAUACUAUCAAUAGUAUAGAAGCUCCUAUACUAUAGUGUUUUAAACCGUUGGAUGCUCUUUGAGAUCUGUGCACAGGUUUGGGGAUUAAGUGGGAUGAAGUGGGAUGCAGCAUAUAACACCGUUAACAGAAAAAUAAAAGAGAAGAGAGAAACCCACUUCAAACCUUAGAGUAUAUGACGGCUGCUUUAAUAAUCACGUCUAAUACUCUAUUCAUAAUCAACUCGUUCUCGCGCAAUAAUUUGGGAAAGAAUGAUGAUCACAUCAUCCUAGUAAUAUCCAUGUCUUUAGCACUUCAGAUUUUUUUUUUCUUCUUUGAAGAUCAGCGACAACGCACCGCUUCGUUAUUUCCAUUAAAAGAUAAUUUUGUUAAUGAAAUGGAAUCAACUAGAAUUCGAACUCGGUCUCGUACUAACUUCACCGAAAUCUUUUGCCCACUUUGCUUAAGAAUAGUCGGCCGUAUCCUUCAGAUAUUUCUUCAGUUGAAAAUUUAUUUUUGUUUUAACUACCAUUAAGGAGGUAGGGGACCAAUAGGGUGACACGUUGUCCAGCCCCAAUGACCAUCCUUACUCCUCUCUAAUCUCUCCUCUCCUCAUCUUCUCUCUCUCAUAUAUAUAUAUACUUAUUACAUUUAAAUGCCUUGAUCUAUUUAAAAUGUUAAAUCAAGUUAAAUUAUAAAAUUUAAUUAUUUAACCGUCCGGUAGUCACAUUGAUUUCCAUUAUUAAUCGUCCGAAAUUUAUAGAACUGUUUCAAUCUAUCAAACAUCUAACAAGCGAAUUAAUUGACACUAAUCAAAUUUAUGUAAUAAGUUAAGUAAUUAUAAUAUAAUAUAAAACGGUGGUGUAGUAGAGUAUUACAGGUAGAGCUGAAGGGAGUCGACGUAAUAAAAUCUAACAUGAAAUGCAAUUAAUAUCACGUUAAAAUAUCUACUGUAUAAAUAAAAGAACGCAUUAAUUUAGGAGUAUUUAGAAAUAAUACGGAUUGGAUGUGUGGCUGUGCUAUAAUAUUAUAUUUAUAUAUAUAUAGAAGAUACGUAUAUUAUAUAUAUAUAUAUAUAAAAUAUUAAUUUUAUUAACAAUUUUUUAUACACUUAAUUGUCUUACUAUUUAGUUGAUUUUUAUAAAAAUUUCAUUUUGAUGCGAGAUUUAUUCAAAUCCUUUUUCAUAACAUAUCUUUAUAAAAGUAAAUGAUGUAUAAUAUUUUGCGUACAUAUUACACAAUUUGAAAUGACUGUUAAUUUAAAUAAGAUGUAACAACUAUUAAAUAUUUUUCAUAUAUCUUUUAUUUAAUUCUAACUAAUAAAGAGUAAGCUAUAUAGAUAUAGAUGAAGUAAAAGAAUAAAAGUUAUUAUAACAAUAAAUUUUUAAAAGUAUCCGUGAUCGGGGCGUAUUUACUAGUUAUUUAAUUAAGCGCAUCCUGAAGAAUUUCGGUACAAGAUACUUGUUUUUUUUUGUCUUUUUUGGAUAUUUGCGCUUUAUCCCUAAUGUCUUAUCCAUGUGCCCGCGGGUGUGCAUUAAUUAGUAAUUGAGUUAAAAAUAAAAUAAAAUAAAAUAAAAUAAACAUAGAAAGGAGAGAUGCGGGAAAAGAGAGAUGAGAGAUUCACGAUGCUCAUAUCGUUACUCAAACACAUACAAAUUAAAGUAGAGUGUUAUGAGCCAAGAAUGGGAGUGAAAGUUUCGGGCGCGCUUGCGUCUUGUAUGUAGGUAGCGCUACAAUUAUGUAGUUAUGUCGACAUGGUUUUGAUCUAGUCCACGCGCAAGUUUGGCUUUGGGCUUGCGAUAAAACGAAGUAUAAAUAGUCAGUAUAAAAAUUUUCAUCUCUUUAAGUUCGACCUGCAGCAUUUGUAAAAAAAGUUAAAAUUUCACUUUACUAUUUUUAGCGAAAAAACUAAACCCAUCAAACUCUCUAGAAUUUUUUCGUUUAUUUGUUUUAUCAAAUACAAAUAUAUCGAUAAAAAAAUUGAAAAAAAAUUCGAUAAAAACUAUUCACAACGUUUACUUUUGACCCAAAUGGAGUUUUUAUAUUUGCUUUUUUUAAAAAAAAAUUCUUUAAGCUCGAUGACUACUCGACCAUACAACUUAGCUUGAAAUUGCCGAAAUUGCGAAGAUUGCGUUAACUCGUGUAGGUGAGAAAGUAUUAAUGAAGAAAUAUUCGUAUUUUCCGUAUAUAUAGAUUGCGUUUCGCAUAUCGCAGAUGGAUCGUACUGAAUAAAUACUUUGCUGCGGCUCCACCGUGGAGAAAAACUAUCCUGUAAGUUUUUUUCCUCAAACUCCAUUUAUCUAAUAUGCCGCGUUGAUAGAAUCUCAGACAAACUAAGCCAUACGUCAUUUUCAAAGCAAGAAUUUUGUCUGAGCCAGUUGUACAAUACAAUUCACCCCAUCUCAACCCACUUUCUUAACAAAGUAUAUAAGAGAUCUAAUAAAUAAAAAAUCUUAUUAAAUAUACACUCUGAAAAUGUAUUCCAUAAGCAAAAUGAGGAACUAUGAAAUUGUUUACUGCCUAGUAAUGGAUUUCAAUCUAUAUAAUAUAUUUUUUACGGUAAAGACCUUUUAAAAUGGUCUGUAGGCCCAUAAUUUUAGAUAAAUUUGCACACCCAAUUAAAGUAUUGAUUAUUAAAACUUAGGCUAAAAUUAUGAUGAAAAAGCCCUCGCGACAUUAGUCGGCCUCUCCUUAAUUAGCUCCGCAUAGAAAAUUGCAUUAAUUAUCGUUUACACUUUGGCCAUCAUUUCCAUAAUAAGAUGCUAUAAAGUGAAAAAUACGAAUUAGAUUCUAAAACUUCACUAAAAUAAGCGUGCACGCAUGUUCGAUACAUAUUUAGCAUAUAUUAAUUGCAAUCGCAGAAAAAAUAGAUAAAAUCAGAUAAAAGAAUCUCUUAUUUUGUUAAUUAACUAGCAAAACCGAUAUUAAUUGAUGAAAAUUUAUUUAAUUAUAUGAUUUUACUAUAUUUUAUAUUUUACAAAAAAUAAUCAUCUCGACCACUAUUACAUCUAAUUUGAGAUAAUGACACAAGUUGAGAAUGACUCUGCGCUAUUUGAUCGUAAUUUUAAUACAGAAAAUAGUUAAGAUAUGGGCUAAAUUACAAGAGCUUAUUAUAAUAGUCCGAAAAAUAAAUAGAGGAGAGACUUGGUGACAAAAUGUGAGCCAACCUUCUCAUUCACCAUCCACUUCUGGUGUACGCACACGUGACAUAAUAAGAAACGUCGUUGAGUGACCUCCUGAUUAAAUAUAAAAUAAUAUUUAGAACACGUUACUCCAUAAAUCACUAUUUUCAAUAGCUUCUAAGGUUUAGAGUACAACGGCUUGUUCAACAGCAGUAAGUCAGAGCAGGAGGUCCUGAGUAAGAGUCAUGCCAGACCUAACAUAUAAGUUUCCUCUUCAUUAAUUCAAGCUCAACAUCUCAUUGGCACGAUAAAAAGCUAACCAGACAGUGAGAGGGAGUGUUUAAAUAUAAUAAAUGUUUAAAUAGCGUCCUCAUAAUAAACUUAAAACUUUUAGAGAACAAACGGUUGUUUCAUAGCAGCUGCCAGCAAAAAUUUUUCAGCAUCUUCUACCAGUUACCGACAUGUCUCUGGUUACAGUAAUGUGAUUUCAAUAUAGCCCUUUCUUCCUUAGAAAAGCAUAAACAUCUUAACAAUAUCUAAUUGACAAGUACACGUCAGUACAGUCGCGUUUGAUAGGUCUUAUUUCCACUGCGUUGCGAGGCUGUGGCCCGCUCGUGCUCGAGAGAAGAGAGGAAGAAAGAAAGAGAGAAAGAGCGCAUGGGGCCUACUGCGCGGGAGAGUAAGAGAGACUAGAGGAGAGACCUCUUCUCUCAGCAACUCGUCUGCUUUCUCUCGUCGCCCCUCUGCCCUCUCCCCACGCCCAGCCUCCCCCCACCCCCCCCCAACACCCCCCACCGCCCUGGGCACCCCUAACCCCCCCCCCCCGCCCCCCCCGGCUCUCUCUCGGUCUCUCGACCUCCCGCAGUCCAGCCCCUCAGCCAACGCGCCACUCCUCUCUCUCACCCCGCACGAGCCGUACCCAAGCAGCCCCCGCCCAUCACCGCGACCCGCGCCCCCGCUCUCUCUCGCCCUCCCGUUAACAGCCUCUCCACUCUCUACCUUCCCUCCAUCUCUCUCCCUCUUUCGCGAUGCACUUCUCUGCUCGGCCGCGCCGACGGCUGGAGCGGGGCACGCUGCGGGCGCGCCUGCGCAGCACAGUCGACGCGUUCGCCGGCUCGCGCAGGUGCGUUACGCAUGGCCUAGCAGGACGCCGCGCGAGUACGCGAGUCCGAGCGGCGCGAGCGGCUGAUCCGAUGUGGGAGGCGAGCAACGUUUUUUUGUUCUUUCCCCUCUUCUCAUUCUUUUUUUUUUUUAUAUAUAUAAUCAUAUAUAUUAGCAGUGGCUUGCAGUCUCUUCAGGAGCACGAGCCGCUCUUCGCUUCUCUUGAGGCCAAUUGUUUCUGAUGAUUUUGUGAAUGUUUUUUCGAAUCGACGAUCGGCUAACCGUUAAACUUGUAGUCUAUUUGCGUAUACAAUUGUUUCUAGAAAAUAAUAUUUUGCGGAUUUCGAUAUCAUUUACCUUAAGUGAUCGAAAGGAAUCAAAAUCUUCAUUAAUUUUAAUGGUAUUAUUCUGCCGUUCAAGUAACUGGUAGUUUAUUUAUAGUAUUCCAAAUCAAUGAAAUUUGAUAGACAAAUUCUUAUACUAUUCUACUAAUAAGAUCUAUUAUUCGAUACGAAAAUUUUCAGUGGCUAUAGUCAGGUUUUUUCACUUUUAUAGAAUUUUAUUUUCAGGUUUCCGGCGUAUAUAUAAUUAUUGAUUUGAAUACCUUCGAUUGCUAGGUCUAAAUGAAUACGAAAAAUCCGCAAAAAGUAUUUUCUAAAACGUUAAAACACGCUAGAUCAAGUUUUAAACGGAGCCAUCGUCGAUCAAACCCAUUUCAUCGAAAAUGUACUCAGGAGCACGGAGAUCCGGUCCGUGCUCCGUAGCAGCACAGCAGCCCAUACUCUAAUAUAUAUAUAUAUAAAUAUAUAUAUAAUAUAUUAUAAAUAUACUAUAGUAACAGUAUAUAUAUAUUAUAUAUAUUAUAAUAUAUAGUAUAAAUACUAUAUAUAAUGAUAAGGUGAGCAGGCGGUUUCUUUCUUUCCUCUCUUUUUUUUUUAUAUUAUAAUAGUGUUAUUAUUAGUAUUAUAUAGACGCACUCCUCCUUUUUUACCAUCCGAAUCGCUGCUCUGUGUGCUUUUUAUUUUUUUGCUCGUCUGUGACUGCGCGCGCGCAUUCUCCGCCUGCUCUUAUCGCGCCGCUUCCCAGCUGUUUUUUUUCCUUUGUUUUAUAUAUUAUUAUUUAUUUAUGUAAUUUUUUAUGAUGUAUUUGUAUAUUUAUAGUUUGAUGUAUAAUAUUUGUAUUCUUUUAUUAUAUAUACUAUAAAGGACAGUUGGGCUUUUUUCUCGCAUCGUCUCUAGUCUUUUUUUUGUAUAGUUAUAUAUAUAAUAUUAUAAAUUAUAUAUUAAGAUAAUAUAUUUAUUUUAAUUAUUUUUAUUUAUUUUAUAUAUAAUAAAGUAGUAUAUAAAAGAGAUGAGGAAAAAAAAAAAAAAACGGCCACUCCCUCGCCACAUGCGUGAUUCGCUGCAUCGCGUGCCGUGCCUUGCGACCUGCCGCCGCUGCUGCGCCGGCUGCGUUUUUUUUCUUUUGUUAUAUAGAGUAUAUAUAUAUAUUUAUAUUAUAUAAUAUAUAAUAUAUUAUAAUAAUAAAAAAGUAGAGUGUUAAAUUGCAAUUGUUUACCUCGGUCUCGUCUUUGAAUUUUGGCGAAUUCAGACGUUGCUGCGUUGAAAUUUUGUAAAAUGGACUCGUUAACCUCCGGAACUAUAGGCUCUAUUUUCGAUCAUCGUUACCUCUUCCCGUCGUUUUCCCCCGUCAAGCUCCGUUAACCGGAGAACUUACAAUAGAGGUAAAACAAAAUGAAAUAUAUGAGUAAGCAUAUUAAAUGUCGAUUUUAGAGUCUGGGGUUAAGUGAACUCGCCAAAAGUUCAGAGUAACAAUAUAUUUACACAAAUUUUUAUUAAAUUAUUUUUAUAUUCAUCUUUACACUAUUAAGCUCUCUCUCAUCUCGCCAGCGUCUCUCUCCUAAAAUGGGGUACCGAGUCCCCCCCUCACCUGUUAAUGCCCUCUCCCUCUCUCUCUCUCUCUCAUUUCUGGCAUCUCCUCUGGCCCCUAAUCUUCUCUCAUUAAUUCUCCAAUCCUCUCUUCUAAAACAGAAUUCCUCCUCUCUCUAUCUCCCCAACUCUCUACUCUCCCGUAAAAUAAAUCCCUCUCCCUCAAUAUCUCAUCGCGAAUACUAUCUCUCUCUUAAAAUAGAUUCUCUCUCCCAAUACCUCCCCACAAACUAUCUCUCUACUAAACAUACAUUUAAAAUAUACCUUCUCUUUCUCUCUCUAACCUCAAUCUCUAUAUCCUCCUUGUCUCGUCGCAAACCCAAGUUUGAGCACAAUAAUCUCAAUUUUUUAAUGUAAAAUUAAAUCUUUUUAUUUUUCUUGUCUUUCUUUAAUUAUUUUCUUAAUUUAUGGAAUAAAAAAUUACUAGGAGCGUGGGCGCGGCUCGCGGUGUGGCGUGGACACGCUGAGUGCGGUGGCGCAGCGUGCGCGUGGCGACACCCGCUCCUUGUUUUUUUUACACUUUCUAAUGGCCUCUCUUCAACUUUCACAUAUUUUUUUCGUCACUAUUAAAUUAAACUUUUUUGUUCUUUUUCCUCUCUUAAUUUUUAACAACAUCGGGUAAAAAUUAAGAUUAUUUAAAAAAAAAAGCUCAAAGUUAUAAAAAUAAAGGUUAAAGCACGUAAGUAAUAAAAUAUAUUAGUUUGACAAAUAUUAAAAAAAGAUUACUAAUAUCUUCGCAUGACGAAGCGGGUUGGGCCUCCACAGUGUCAAUUAAAGCUCGGUGAUUACACAGCAUCGAUAUAUUUGGUCAAGAUAAAGAAAUCAAAAAAAAAAAAAAUAAUAACAAAGUAUAUAUAUANNNNNNNNNNNNNNNNNNNNNNNNNUACCUCCUCCUCUCUCUCUCUCUGUUGUUAACAGAGAAUUAAAGAGAACGAGAAUCCGACUUCAACUAAGAAGGUAGGUAAAUAAGAGGAAAAAGGCAAAAAAAUGCGCCAUCGAGGUAAGCGACAUGACCUUGAAAUUGAGAAUAUACAAAUGUAUAUAAUAUAUAAGAGUAGCCUAUGUUGCUAUUAGGAGCAGAAGACCUAAAUGAGCUCCAAACCGUUUUCAAUGAUGGAGCUUUGAAUUGACAAUCAAUUCCGUCUUUACUUGAUCUAGCGUAUUAGAAACAUUCUAAAAAAUAAUUUGUGAGUUUUUGAUAUCAUUUACCUAGUUAUCGCAAAGAGUUUCAAAUCCACGAUUUUUAUAUGGUGAUGUAAAUAUCUACUAAGUUAACGGUAGUAGAUAAUAAUUCAAAUCAAUGAAUUUGAAUAAAAAUUUUUAUAACUCUUACUACAAAUUUAAUAUCUGUCAGAUCGAAAAUUGAUGCUAUAUCACCACUUAUUUGAGCUUUUAUUUUCAACCAGUUAUUUUGAAACCCUUUCCAAUUCUAGGUAAUACGAUAUUGAAACAAUACAAAAUUAUUUUCUAGAUAAUUCAAAUACGCUUAGUAUCACGUCUAAAGGAUCUAGAUCGUCAUUCGGAAGCUCCAUGACCGAAAAUGCUUAGAUUACGGAGGUCUCCAUAGGGCACACAAGACUACUCCUAUAAAUAAUAUAUAUAAGUUAUAUAUAUAUACAUAUAAUAUAUACUAUAUAUUAUAUAUAUGAGUAGAGCUAGAUACUUGCUAAAAGAUAUCACGCAAUGGAUACUUGUUGUUUUAGCACUUUGGAUGGAGAAGAUUGAGUUCGGAUGCAUGGUGGUAGGUCGUGAUAGGUGAAUAUGUUUAAUCCAGGAUUAAUAAUCAAAAAGUAGAGCCAAUGGUAAAAACAUAGACCACAAUAUCACUUGUGCCUUGUAAAAAGUAUCUAUGCCGUCACUAUAUAUAUAAUUAAUAUUAUAGAUGUUGUGCUUCAUAUCAUCAAUAAUAUAAGAACUCACUAUACUAUAGUGUUUAAACGCGUUGAUGCUCUUUGAGAUCUGUCAGCAGUUUUGGGGAUUAUGGCCAUGAAGUGGAUGCACAUAUAACACCUGUAACAGAAAAUAAAAAAGAAAAGAGAAACCCACUCAAACGUACUCUCUCUCUCGCUUGUGUUAAUAGAGAAUUAAAAGAGAAAGAGAAUCGCCACUUCAAACUUACUCUCAUCUCUCUGCUCUCCCCCCCACUUCCCCAAACCUUACAAUUUACGGUGUAAAAUAUCAAAUCAUAGUGAAAUUUUAUAGAAAAGUUUUAUAUAUUUACCUACAAAUUAAUAUCUCUAAUGAGAUUUGAUGCUAUAUCACCACUAUUUGGAGUUUUUAUUUUCAAACCGAUUGAUUUUGAACCCUUCAAUCGUAGUAAAUGAUAUUGAAAAAUCACAAUUAUUCCUAGAUAAUUCAACAUCUCAGAUCAGUCUAAAGAUCAGAUCGUCGAUUCGAAGCCUCAAUCACCAAAAAUGGUUUUGGAGCACGGAGGCUCCAACCGGAACACACAAACCUACCUAUAUAUAUAAUAAUAUAUAUAUAGAGAGAGAGAGAGAGAGAGAGCUUGUGCUCUAUAUAUCAAUUAGUAUCGAAGCUCCUAUACAUAGUUUUAAACCGGGAUGCCUCUUGAGUCUGUGGCACAAGGUUUGGGGAUAAUGGUAAGGGGAUGCAUCAUAUAACACGUUACAAAAAAAAAGAGAAAGAAAACCUCCUUCAAACCUACUCUCUCUCAUCUGUUGUUAACAGAGAAAUUAAAAGAAAAAGAAUCUCACUCAACCUUAUUCUCUCUUCUUUCUCUCCUCUCCCCCCUACCCCUACAUAAAAAAGAACCAUCCGAUUAAAAGUUAUUAAAAUAUUAAAUUCAACAAGCAUAAACAAACUAGAAGAACUUUAAAUAUUACACAAUAGAAAAAUAUUGUCAAUACAACCAUUGCAUCUGAACAUGUAGCUACAAAUAAUCUAUGUAAAAGAAAAAGAGUUAAAAAGGUGGAUUUGGCCCUCUAGGAAAUGGAAAAGAAAACAGCCGACACGACUGAAUUUUUGUGGCUCGAUACUUAACAUCCAGCUCAUGUUUGCUCGUUACCCCCGAACCCAGGUUAGUACAAGCAAAGCAAAUGAAUGAAAAGAGUUUGCUAACAAUAAUUACUAAGAUAGUUAGUUUACGUCAUAACAUUUUUGGGCACAAAGGAAACACCUUAUUUUCUUUUAACCAAAUGUUAGCUCUUUGACGUUACAAAUUUACCAGAACUUAACAUCCACAUAUAUAAUUCAUCUAAACAUUACAUUUCUAAAAACAUCAUAUAGAGGGUAUUUUAUUUUUUUUAUAACAAUUAUAAAGAAUUGAGUAAGACUCCAAACUUACUAAUAAAAGAAAAAUAUAUAAAAAAUGGGUUUUCCAAACCUGCACAUUACAACAUAACAGAGAAAGAUAGAAAAAAUGAUCCCUAACUUGCACAACUUAAAUAACAAAAUAAUUAAGCUAGUCAAAAAAUCCAAAUAGAUGCCAAAAAAAUGUGGAAUAGAAUUUUAAUAUAUUGGAACUAGUAUUUGUACUGAUAUCGAUUAUAUAACGUAAAAUUAGAAUUUGAAUAAACUCUAUCUCUAACUAAUUUUUAAAUUAAAUUUGAGUUAUUAUUUCAAACAUAAUGAAUAAAAAAUAAGAGAAAAAAAAAAGCCCCAAACGAGUUUUUGUAUUUGGCGAUCGUAGGAAAAUACAUAGGGAAGUAGCGAAAUACAGAAACUGGGAAGUGGGGAAAACGCGGUUUCCACGUUUUAUUUGGUGGUUUCUGGGAGCCAAUCUGACCGUUUAUUCGAAAUAGGGCCCACACGUGUACAGUAGACAGAUUUUCUUAUAUUUUAGAAAAAAAACAGUAUCAUUUUAGGGAAGCGUGGCAUGUUAUACAUUUCAUUCAAUUAAAAAAAAAAAAUUCAAGUGUUAUUGUUAUGUUUUCAUAUUUUCUUAUUUUAAUAUUCUGUGAUUUAAAAUAUAUUAUUUUAGUAUUUUAUAGUUUUAUUCAUUUUUUCUUUUCGUUAUCUCAUUCGUUUAUUUUUUUCUUAAAUCAAUGAAAAAAUUAAAAGUAUAGAGUACUAAAAUAAAACUUCGGUAAAUCACAAAGUAUUACAAGUGAAUAUUUGAUAGACUGUAGGUCGGGUAUAUGAAGUUUUUCUCUAUUUGAUUUAAUGAAGAGUUAACGGAGGUGCUGACGGAAAGAGAAAAACGAAACCACAUGAUAAUAAAGUGACACACUUUAAAUUAUAAGAUAGUAAAGUGAGAAAGCGUGAAACCACAUAAAUGGUAUUUAAGAUUAUUUUUUCAAAAAAAAUAACUUAACGGUAAAUAUUAAAUAAUUAAAUUUUAAAUAAGCACUCUUUAGUUUUAACUUUGUCAUUGAUUUAACGAAAAAAAUUAGUGGAAUCAAUAAUAAAAAGAUAAAACAAAAGNAACAGCUCGGCGAUGCGACGUCGGCAACGAACGCUCUACCCAAGGUCCUCCUCCUCGCGUAUGGCUCCAGAGACAGAGAGGGAGGAAAUUUUAAUUAAGGAGGCAUGUACAACCCCCUAAUUAGAUAAGCAUGAAAUACAUGCAUGGGGGCACGUGGCAUUAUAUAUAUAUAAGGAUACUACAAUACGGGUUCGCUUCGACAAGCGGGACGGGUGUGUUCACAGUCCCUAGUGAGAUUGGAUCAAGACUUGCAUCAUCUACAGAUAGUUAGUGUUGGAUUAUAAUAGUAUAUAUAGUGGCAUAUAGCUGUAGAUUUAUUUCAUCUUUUCUUACUAUCCCUGCUUACAUCUGUAGACUUAGUGGGUGAGCCGUUGAGGUCGGUAGCGGUACCCAUUGAGGACUACUUCUUUUUGCAGUAGUUCUCACACCCAGUUGUGGAUCCUUUUUGCAAAGCCCUCUUUUUCGGCUGCUGCUGUCGUGGUGACUGAUCGUGGAAAUGGAGUCGCGAGCUAGAUCCCUUCCCGUUUUGCUGCUGAUCUAGAGUUAUACCAACUACAGGUAGUUGUAGUUCUUGGUUCUUUUAUGUACUGAUGUUAGUGCCUCGCUGGAGCGAGUGUUUUUGCACCAGGAUACUAUGUAUGUAAUUUGAACCGAUGUUAUUUAUAUAUGUUUUCUUUAGCAACUCUAUACUACUGGUUGUAGUGUUGUAUGAUUACAGGUACAGCUAUCGCUUCGUAUACAGGAAAAAUUUCUUUGUAUACGGCGAGUCUGUUAGCGUGCCCAGGGAAGUGAGUAAUCCGGGGCGUGACAUUGGCUCCCUUAUACUCAUAAGUUUUCGGCCCUUAGAUUUAUUCUAUUGAUCAUUUCCACAUGUUAGAUCAAACUAUUCAACCAACUACCCGCUCAACCCUAGGGGACCACUAUCAUUCUAAGUGGGGACCACCAUCAUCCUAACCAUACAUCCCAUCAAUCAACGAUUAAAAAUUUAUGAGUAUAAAGGGGUCUAUACUCAUAAGAGUAUAGUAGCCCCAACCGAGAGAGAGAGAGAGAGAGAGAGAGAGAGAGAGAGAGAGAGUAGGUCUUGUGUGCUAUUAGGAGCACGGAGCUCUCUGUGCUCCUGAGCCGUGUUCGAUGAUGAAAUUUUCGAAUCGAUGAUCGGCUCCGUUAGACUUGAUUUAGCGUAUUUGAAGUUUUUAAAAAGUAAUUUUUGCGAUUUUUUGAUAUCAUUUAUCUAACAAUCGAAAGAAUUCAAAAUCAAUAAUUUUUAAUGGUUGAUAUCUGUCGUUUUCAAGUUUAACGGUGUAGAAGUAUUCAAAUCAGAUGAAAUUUUGAUACAAAAUUCUUUAUACUAUCUACAAUAAGAUCAAUAUUUAUGAUCGAAAAUUUUAGUGUUAUAUCACCACUUUUUAUAUGAUUUUUAUUUUCAGCUGUUAAAAAUUAUUGAUUUUGAAUUCUUUCGAUUGCUAGGUAAAUGAUAUCGAAAAAUUGAAAAAAUUAUUUUCUAGAAACUUCAAAUACGCUAGAUCAAGCCUAACCGAGCCGAUCGUCGAUUCGGAAAUUCCAUCAUAAAAAACGACUCAGGAGCACGUAGGACUCCGUACUCCUGAGAGCACAGCAGCCCUACUCUAUAUAUAUAUAUAUAUAUAUAUAAUUUUAUUUAUAAAUAUAUAUUCAUUUAUUGUAUAUAGUAUUUUAGUUUAUAUGGAGAUAUUUUUAUAUAAUAUUUUAUUUAUAAUUUAUAAAUUUGUAAUUAUUUAAUAAUAUUUUUAAAUAUAUAACUCUUAUAUAUUAUGUACCAUGUUUAUUAUAAUUUUAAAUGUAUUUAAUCUAUAUAUAGAAAUUAUAAUAAUAAUAUAUAUAAUAUAUUAAUUAUUAUAUAUUAAUUAAAUAUAUAAUAAAAAAUAUAUUAAAUAGUUUUUUUAUUAUUUUUUUCUUUCAACCAAACAACUGUUACGAAAAACUUUUUCUUUUCCUAUAAACCAAAUACUAAACAACGUAAAAUUUUUUUUCCACCGAAAAUUUUUUUUCACCGAAAAUUUUUUUUUCCACAGUUUUACGUGGAACCAAACACACCCUAAACUUCAAAUAUUAUUUUUAUAGUUUUAUACUUUCUAAUUUUAUUACUUUGUGGUUUAAAGUGUACCGAGUUAGUAUCAUGUAAUUUUAUUUUUACUUUUUUAUUUAGUUUUUUUAUUAAUAUUUCGUUAAAUUAUUAUAUACAAAAAAACUUUAAAUACCCAACAUAGAUUUAUCGAAUAUUCACUUUAGUACCCUUUAAUAUUAAUUUUGUUACUGAUUUAAUAAAAAUAAUUAGUAAAAUCGAUAAUAAGAAGAUAAAAAUGAAACCAUAUGGCACUAAAUUGAUACACUUUAAACCACAAGAUACUAAAGUGAGAAAGUCUGAAAUCACAGAAGUGGUAUUUAAAAUGUUUUAUUUUUGUUUUCUCUCUUCCACCGUUAAAAAUCAAAAUUUUUAAAAUGUUGCUAU
rnacentral:lncRNA from 1 species